CCGUUUCUGGAAAAAUAGACCCUAGGCAUCAUCUUCUAAACACCCUAAGACCUAGGAGCAGCUCUAGAUCUCUCACGAAAAAACAAAAUCAGCCGCAGGACCUCUUUAUUCUUCACCUUCUUCUCCAUCAGUACCAAACAAACACACACACGCAAGAGACCAUCUCUAGCCGUCACCUCUCAACCCCAUUCCAACCUCCAUAGGCCGCUCAAGAGCCGGAAACCCGUCGGAAAAUGACGCCCACCACCUCUGAACCCUAGUCUUGAGUCCCAGCAGCCGCUUAAACUAGUCAUCUCUCCCCAAACAUCCAAUCUCCUUCUUCCUCACCUCACAGCAGUUACCCGCCACCCCCCUUUCCUCAAAUCUUCACGAAAAAAGGGGUUUUGAGAGGCGAAAAUUCGAAGAGGAGGGAGAAGGAGAAAGGUUUCAAGUGGGAUCGUCGCUCGAGGUUCAGGUUCAAAGUUCUUUGUCCAGCUUUCACCGAAUCUCUAGAAGUUCGUUCAUCUUGUCGCUGCUUGUGUCUUGUUCGAGUUCGAAAUUUCGUCGUUUGGCACUAUAUUAUGACUGUGUAAUUGCUGAAAAUUUCAGCUAAUUGAAGCUUUAAUUUCAGGUCUGUUUUUCUUUCUUCCUUUUUACUUGUUUUGAUAUUGAAGUUCAAUGUGACUGAAUGCCCCGUUUGCUAGGUGAAAAAUGCUCUGAAUUGCUGAUUCGUUUGCUCGGCCAGUGGAUUAUUAGUUUUGGUUUGUCUAUGCUUUAUUGCCAUUAAUCUCGAUUAGCUUCGUUUGAACUGAUGGCUGAAUAGUUAACGUUUCGUUGAGGCCUAGCGGAUUCUCCUUUGGACUUAAAUCAACUUGAGUUCCUUGUACCUUGAGAUUGAAUUGACACUUCAUUUUUCCCGGAUAAACGAUCCGAAAGUGAAACUCGCUGUUUUGUUUAAUGUCUCUAAAUGCUAUUCUCCUCAUAUGUUAAUUGAGCUACCAGAUUAUCUUGUCGUCUCGUUAGAGAUAGUUUGGGACAUAAUCGCAUGUUGAAAUCAGAAAAAAUCAAUUUUCUCAUGAGAUAAGUUGCUUGUUCUUGUUUGCAGACCCGUUCUCUGUGCCGAUGUAUAGUGAAGCACGCUUUCUGAAUGUGGCCUAAGCUAGUUGCAUCAUCUUUAAUACGUUCUUAGUUUAUUUUUGCCCCUUUAGAGUAGUCCGCGUAUUUGGAGGGUGUCUGAUUUGUCUUUGCAUUACAGUUCCGCCCAUAUUCAUUGUUGAGAUUAUAUGGAUUAGCUUAAACGAGUUUUACAAGCAUCAUGUAGUAACAAUAUCUAGGAAAUGGCACAGUAGUAUUUCAAGGGUGUUUAUGUCUUGCAUGGCUUAUAUAUAUUUUAGCUCAAUCUGUUCCUUUCUCUCACAGUGUAUACUUAGGAUGCAAUAUUUGUCUAGAUGCUUACUACUAUUCAUAUGUGUGUGUUGAUCUACAGGUUUUUUAUUGAGUGCCCAGAAGUUGGUUAUUGUUAAUUUUCUAAUUUGAACACAUUCACUUUCUGUUUUUUUCUACAUUUCUUUUGAUUGGCUUUUUUUAUUUUGUUUGUUUCGUAUAUUUUGGUUAAUUUCUACUAGGUGUCUUUAUAACUUUGCUUGGUGAUUCAUAUCUGUUGGCAUUUCUUCAAAGUGGUCAUUUAUUGGGGUUCAUGCCUGUUAAUUUUUUUGGGGCCGAGGUCCACCGAAACUUUGUUGUUGUUCUUGUUGUUGUAUGAAUACUCAUAAUCUUUGGGCCUGAACAAUUAAUCCCUUCAAUAGCUAGCCCGUCUUUUCACAAUAGCUAAAAUCAUACAUUUCUUCCACAAUAAUUUCAUAUUCAUAAUUCAUGACCUUGCAAUAAUCUCAAAUUAGCUUUUAAGAAUAACCAUGAACUUUCGUAGUUUUGCUUUAGGCGCAUUAUAAUAGAAUUAUCAUAGCUACGUGUACGGUUCCCGUGACGUAGUUGUGAUACAUAAUUUCCAAAUCCGGGGUAAAUUUAUGUGACCCGGCUCAACAACUAAUAAUGUUAAUAAUUUAAACAUGUUGUAAAUCAUGGGUACGGUUCCCGUGACACGAUUCGCAAUGUAUACCAAACAAACAAGUGUACGACAAUCGUAACUUGUUCCUUAAUAAUUUCAUAAAUAUUUAAAACGAGCAAAGGGUAAAAAUGCACAAUAGGUAUAAAACAUGUAAUCAAUCAGAAAUUAGGCCAAUAAUAAUAGUUGAGCGACCAUGCUAAAACUACGGAACCCGGGAAUGCCUAACACCUUCUUCCGGGUUAACAGAAUUCCUUACCCGGAUUUUUGUGUUCGUAAACCAUAAAUAAGAGUCAAACUUCCUCGAUUCGGGAUUUUAAACCAGUGACUUGGGACACCAUAAAUUAUCCCAAGUGGCGACUCUGAUUUUGAAUAAAUAAUCUCGUUCAUUUUUAUCACUUUAAUUGAAAAAACUCCCCUAUACCCUUUUCGGGGUAAAAAAAAGAGGUGUGACAGCUCAGAUUUUUAAAUAAAAAGUCAUUAGCAAUUUCGUAAUUAAUCUAAAAAAUCUGGUAACCCAAUUCUUAGUAAACUGACCAUAAAAUCCUCAUACUUGUCCAAAAUUCACGGUUCUUUUUGCUAUGGCUCCGUUAUUACGAUAUAGAUCUAAUGCUUUAAUUGAAACAAAAAUCGGAGCUCAUUUGUUUAAUGUGGUAGCAUUUAUGCUUGAAUAAACAACGACGAAACAUAAGAAAAACGAGUGCAACACAGCCUAGAUCUAUCCGAAACUCACUCGAGCCCCUAGGGACCUCGUACGUACAUACCAACAAGUCCCAUAGCAUGACACAGACCUACUCAAGGCUUCAAAUCACACAUAACAAUAUCGGAACGACAAAACACACCUCAAAUCAAACUUAAUGAACUUUCGACUUGCAAAAACUAGCGCUAAAACAAUCAAAUCAACUCGGAAUGAACUCAAAUUUUGCAUGCAACUCCUAAUCAUCAUACGGAGCUACUCAUGCUCCCAAACUACCGAGCGAAGUGCAAAUGCUCAAAACAUCCAAUCGGGUCGUUACAGUCCUCCUUAUUGAAAGAUGAGUGGAGAGAAAAUAGGAAAAGUAUGUAAUUCAAUCAUAUAAUUUAAGGCACUAAUAAUGAAUUGUAUAUAAUUUGUAAGUAAUCUUUGUUUAUGUUGGAUAAUAAAUAAAAUUAGGAUAAUUUUAGUAAAUAAGUUUCAAAUAUUGUAUAGGAAGGAAAACAACAACAACGACCAAGUGAAAUCCCACCAGUGGGGUCUUGGGAGGGUAAUGUGUACGCAGACCUUACCCCUACCCCGAAGAAAUAGAGAGGUUGUUUCCGAAAGACCCUCGGCUCAAGAGGACAAAAAGACAAAAGGAGAUAAAAUCAGUAACACCACAGAAAUAAUAGGAAAAUAGGGAAAAUAGGAACGACAUGAAAUCUUGAAGAAGGAUACAAAGCAAAAGCGAAAUAGUAUCCCUACCAAACUAAUCCCACAAAGUUAUGACAUAAGGCAAGACUCGACUACCUCCUAGCCUACAACCUUAAUAUUCGACCUCUACGUGUUCCUAUCAAGUGUCCUAUCCUCGAAAAUCUGAAGCCUUGCCAUAUCCUGCUUGAUUAACCCCCCCCCCCCCAAUACUUCUUACGGCCGCCCCUAGCUCUUCUCGUGCCCUGCACAACUAGCCGUUCGAACCUCCUUACCGGAGCAUCUAGGCUUCUCUUCUGAACAUGCCCGAACCAUCUGAGCCUCGCUUCCCGCAUCUUGUCAUAAAUGGGAGCCACGCAUACCUUCUCCCGAAUAUCAUCCUUCAUAAUCUUAUCCAUCCUAGUAUGCUCGCACAUCUACCUCAACAUCCUCAUUACUGCUACCUUCAUCUUCUGGAUAUGUGACUUCUUAACAGGCCAACACUCAGCCCCAUACAUCAUGGCCGGUCUAACCACCGCUUUAUAUAACUUACUUUUGAGUAUCAGUGGCACUCUCUUGUCGCACAAUACUCCAGAUGCUAACCUCCACUUCAUCCAUCCUACCCCAAUGCGGUGUGUGACAUCCUCGUCGAUCUUCCCUCCCCCUGGAUAACCGACUCAAGGUACUUGAAGCUGCCUCUACUUGGGAUGACCUGUGAUUCAAGCCUCACAUCCACGCCCAUUUUCCCCUGCUCGACGCUGAACUUACACUCCAGGUAUUCUGUCUCCAUCCAGCUAAGCUUAAAAACCUUAGAUUCAAGAGCCUGUCUCCAACCUCCAGCCUCUCGUUAACACCGGCUCGCAACUCAUCAAUCAGAACUAUGUCAUCGGCGAAUAGAAUGCACCAUGGCACAUCCCCUUAAAUGUGGUGUGUUAACGCAUCCAUUACCAGGGCGAAUAAGAAUGGACUGAGUGCAAAAUCUUGGGGUAACCCCAUGACAACAGGAAAAUCCUCAGAGUCGCCUCCUACUGUCCUAACCCGAGUCUUUUCCCCAUCAUACAUGUCCUUAAUCGUCAUAAUGUAGGGAACCGACACAUCUUUUGCCUCCAAGCUUCUCAGAGAACUUCUCUAGGAACCUUGUCAUAUGCUUUCUCUAGGUCAAUAAACACCAUGUGCAGGUCUUUCUUCCUAUCUCUGUACUGUUCAACCAACCUCCUAACAAGGAAAAAUCAUUUAAUAUAUUUAGUUUGACUUGUGAGGAAUAAUAUUGGAAAAUUGAGAAUAAAUUCGGUACCAACCGUCUAUAAAUAUUUUUUUUUGAGCAAACCGUAAAUAUUAUAUUAAAAACUACUUAGUGUUUCGACAUAACCUUCAUAAUUUGUGACACUAAGGACACAUUGAUUGCCUAAGCUUGCUAGGAUAUUGCAAGCAUCAUAGGAUAAAGAUUUAACAAAAAUAUAGAGAUCUUUUUGUUUACUUUCCAAGGCGAUUAUUUUUAGUUUAAACGAUUGAGCGGGUGGCUGAUCGGGUUAAUUCUACUAAAUAAAAUAAUGAAUGCAUGGAUCAAUAGAGGAGGAAAAAAUGGAUGCAUUCAAUAUUCCUGCAUACAAUCCAUCUCCUGCAGAAGUGAUGUAUGUUGUUGAGAAAGAAGGAUCUUUUGCCAUUGAUUGCUUGGAAACUUCAGAAAUCCCAAGGUAUUAUUCUUCUGAUGAGAAGUAUAAUAUGGUACAAAGUUUUAGAUCUGUGGCUGAACCUUUGCUUGUUAGCCAUUUUAGUGAUGAAUUGAAUAUAGAUCAAUUCUUCCACUAGAGAGAUCAUUGCAAAUAAUUGCAUGGAAAAAGAGAAGACUAUGUUCAUAAAUGUCAGUGUUUCCUUGGUUAAAAGAAACUAGGGCAGAGGCGAAGUUAUGAUUUGUAUUAUCCGGAUCCAUAGUUCAUUUUUGUUAUUGAGUGUGUAAAUAAAUAUUUAUACAUAUUUAAUAGAUUUUACUUAUAUAAUAUGUGAUAGCUUUGGUACAACUCAUAACUAACUACAACAAUAAUAACAUAAGCACCCGGCAUGUACAAUAACCAACUCAUCAAUGCUACACAGUCUUCCCAAAACCCGAAUCAUCGUGAGUCACAAACUAUAGAAGGAAAACUAGUGUCUCUAUACAUAAGAGUCUAACAAAAGAAGUACAGGAGAUAAUGGACAUAUGGGAGAAUAAAGGGGACUCUGAGGUAUGCGGAUACGACAGAUAUACCUUAAAGUCUCCAACUGUCGCUACUCACUGAUGACGCGGUUGGUAAGAAGUACCUAGAUCUGCACACAAAAAUAUGUGCAGAAGAGCAGCAUGAGUACACCACAACGGUACCUAGUAAGUUCCAAGCCUAACCUCGAUCGAGUAGUGACGAGGUCAGGUCAGGCCCUACUGGUAUAUAUAUAUUUAAAAUAAGAUGGAAAAAAAUAUCACAGUAAUAUAAAAGACUGAAAUUUAACCAGAAAGAAAUCAUAAAAGGAUAACCGUAUAGUGUACAGAAAUAAUCACAGGGGAUCUUCCGAGAUACCAUCUCGUAGUCCCAAAAAUAAUUGUGCAGGUCUCGGUAUAUCGUCCCGUAUUCCUAAAGUAAAUAUGCAGGGGGUUCUCCCGGGGCACCGUCCACCAGUCCCAAAAGUAAAUGUGCAGGGAGAGAUCUCUCGGGAUACCAUCCCAUAGUCCCAAAGUAAAUAUGCAGGAGGAUAAUAGCUGUAAUACGAAAUCCUACAUUUUAGACUAAGUAUAAGUCAAGGAAGAAGUAGGAAAUCCACUAAGCAUGCUGCACAGAGUUCAGAUAAGCAUUUAAGAGACGUAGACAUACUAUUUUAGGCUAAACAGGAUAAUUACACAUGCUAGUAUAACUUAAUUAAAGUGAAAUAGAAUAUUACUUAGUGAAAGACGGAGUUUUACAACAAUAGCCAUGUACACACUCGCCACUUCACGUACACGACGCUCACAUAUCAUAACAGUACCAAAUCCUAAGGGGAGUUCCCCCACACAAGGUUAGGCAAGUCAUUUACCUCGAACCAAGCUCAAUCAAUCGGUAACAAUGCCUUUUCCACAAAUAUCCAACUUUGAAUGACCCAAAUCUCGCCACAAGCAAUUACAUAUCAUUAAUAUAACUCUAAUAGACUAAUCUAAUUAAUAAAAUCAAGACUUUAAUAAGAAAUUCGAAAAUUGCUUUAAAAAGUCUCCCAGGGGCCACGUCUCGGAAUCGGGUAAAAAUCACAAAAUAUGAAUACUCAUUCAUUCACGAGUUCACUUAUACAAAAAUUAUCCAAAUCCGAUUUUAAAAUCCCAAUCAAAACCCAAAAUCUUAGUUGAAGAACUUGUUCUCAUUUUUCUCAAUUUUCAACCCAAAUUCGAAAUCAAAUAAUGAAAUUAAUGAUAGAUUAUUGGGAUAUAACCAAAAUCAAGUGUAGAAUCAUUACCCAAUCGAUGUCUCUGAAAAUCCCUCAAAAUCUCAUCCAAAUCCAAGCUCCCAAACUCAAAUUUUGAUAAAAAUGGCCAAACCCUCAUUUUUGAAAACUUAUAUUCUGUUCAGGUAAUUCUUUCUUCGCGAACACGGUCAAACCCUCGCGUUCGCGUUGAACUCGCGUUCGCAUAGAACAAUUUCCUUGGGGUCCCAGCUGCUCCAUUUCCCUUAAGCGAACGCGAUGCACCUCACGCGUUCGCGAUGCACUGAUCAUUAGACCUUCACGAACGCGGCCCCAUCUUCAUGACACGAAGAACAACUUCAGCUGGCCUCCCAGAUACCUUACGCGAAUGUGAGACCUCUCUCAUGAGCGCAAUGAAGAAAAGCCUUCCGUUGAGCAUUCGAAACAUACCCAAGGCCCUCGGGACCUCAACCAAUCAUAGCAAGAAGUCCUAAAAUACCAUACGGACUUAGUCGAGCCCUCAAAUCACAUCAAACAACGCUAAAAAUACGAAUCACCCUCCAAUCCAAACUUAAUGAACUUGAAACUUCAAAUUUCUACAACCGAAAUCGAAACCUAUCAAACCAUGCUUGAUUGACCUCAAAUUUUGCACACAAGUCAAUUCAACAUUACGGAGCUACUCCAACUUCUGGAAAUCCAAUGCGACCCCGAUAUCAAAAAGUCCACUACCGGUCAAAAUCUCCAAAAAUUUGACCUUCGCCAUUUCAAGCCUAAAUUAGCUACAAACUUCUAAAACACAAUCCGGACAUGCCCCUAAGUCUAAAAUCACCCAAUGGAGCUAACAGAACCGACGAAACUCCAUUUCGAAGUCGUCUUCACACAGUUCUGACUACGGUCGAAAUCCUAUAACUUAAGCUUCCGUUUUUGGGACUAAGUGUCCCAAAACACUCCGAAACCACAAACAACACCUCCCAACAAGUUACACAAUCAGAAAAAGAUACGGGGGAAGCAGUUAAUAGGGGAUUGGGGCUAUUACUCUCAAAACAAGCUACCUGGUCGUUACAUCCUCCCCUCUUAAAACAAUCGUUCAUCCUCGAACGAGCAUAGAAACAUACCUGAAGUGGUGAAAAGAUGAGGAUAACGGUUGUGCAUAUCCUGCUCGAUCUACCAAAUCGCCUCCUCGACCGGCUGACCCCUCUACUGAACCUUCACUGAAGCAAUGUUUUUCGACUUCAGCUUUCGAACCUGCCUAUCUAAAAUAGCCACUGGCUCCUCAACAUAAGAUAAAUCCUUGUCCAACUGGACUGAGCUAGAAUUCAACACGUGAGACGGAUCACUGUGAUACUUCCGGAGCCUAUAAACGUGGGAUACCGAAUGAACUCCUGCUAGACUAGAGGUAAGGCAAACUCAUAAGCAACCUUCCUAACUCGCCGCAACACCUCAAAUGGGCCAAUGAACCUUGAGAUCUGCUUGCCCUUCUUCUCGAAUCCUCAUAAUGCCCUUCAUAGGCGAAACCCGGAGAAAGACUCACUCUCCAACCAUGAAUGCAACAUCGCGAACAUUCCAAUCCACAUAACUCUUCUGUCUGGACUGGGCUAUACGAAGUCUAUCCUGAAUCACCUUAACCUUCUCCAAAGCAUCAUGAACCAAGUUUGUACCCAAUAAUCUAGCUUCGCCCUGCUCGAACCAACACACUGGAGACGGACACCGCCUGCCAUAUAAAGACUCAUACGAUGCCAUCUGAAUGUUGGACUGAUAUGUUGUUAUAGGCAAACUCUGCAAGUGGCAAGAACUGAUCCCAAGAACCUCCAAACUCCAUCACACAUGCACGAAGCAUAUCCUCUAGUAUCUGAAUAGUGCGCUCGGACUGCCAGUCCGUCUGAGGGUGACCUAACUCAUGAUGUACCGCCCUCCGGAACCGUGAUGUAAACUGUGUACCCUGGUCAGAGAUGAUAGAUACCGGCACGCCAUGAAACCUGAUAAUAUCGCGGAUAUAAACUCGAGCCAGCUGCUCGAAAAAAUAGGUAGUCAUCACAGGAAUGAAAUGAGCUGACUUGAUCAGUCUAUCCACAAUCACCCAAACUGCAUCAAACUUCCGCUGAGUCCGUGGGAGUCCAACAACGAAAUAUGUAGUGAUCCGCUCCCAUUUCCUCUCCAGAAUCUCUAACUUCUGAAGCAAUCCACCCGGCUGUUGAUGCUCAUACUUCACCUACUGGAAAUUUAGGCACCGAGCUACAUACUCCACUAUAUCCUUCUUCAUUCUACGCCACCACUAAUGUUGUCUCAAGUCCUGAUACAUCUUCGUGGAACCAGAUAAAUAGAGUACCGCGAACUGUGAGCCUCCUAGAGAAUCAACUCACGUAAUCCAUCUAUAUUGGGCACACAUAGCCUGCCGUGCAUCCUUACUGCACCAUCAUCUCCAAUAGUGACCUCCUUAGCAUCACCAUACUGAACCGUUUCCUUAAGGACAAGCAGAUGGGGGUCAUCAUACUGACGCUUCCUGAUACGAUCAUAAAGAGAAGACUGAGAGACCACACAAGCCAAAACUCGACUCAGCUCAAAAAUAUCCAAUCUAACAAACUGGUUGGCUAAGGCCUAAACAUCCAGUGCCAAUGGUCUCUCUACUGUUGGCAAAUAUGCUAAACUCCCCAAACUCCCCUCCCUGCGACUCAUGCAUUGGCCACCACAUUGGCCUUCUCGGGAUGGUAUAGAAUAGUGAUAUCAUAAUCCUUAAGCAGCUCUAACUACCUCCGCUGACGCAAGUUAAGAUCUUUCUGCUUGAACAGAUGCUGCAAACUCCUAUGAUCAGUAUAAAUCUCACAAGGGACACAGUACAACUAGUGCCUCCAAAUCUUCAAGGCAUGAACAAUGGCUGCUAACUCAAGGUCAUGGACGAGAUAAUUCUUUUUCAUGCACCUUCAGUUGUCUGGACGCGUAGGCGAUCACCCUACAGUCUUGCAUCAACACCGCAUCGAGUUCAAUCUACGACGCAUCAUAAUAAAUAGUAUAAGACUCUGAACCUGUAGGCAAUACUAAUACUGGGGCUGUAGUCAAAGUUGUCUUGAGCUUUUGAAAGCUCUCCUCGCACUCAUUUGUCCACCUGAACGGAGCACCCUUCUUGGUCAGCCUGGUCAUAGGUGCUGUAAUAGAUGAGAACAACAAAUCGACGGUAAUACCCCGCCAAACCAAGAAAGCUCCGGAUCUCUGUGGUUGAGGACGGUCUGGGCCAACUCUACACUGCUUCCACCUUCUUUGGAUCCACCUUGAUCCCCUCACUACAUGCCCCAAAAAUGCCACGGAAUCUAACCAAAAUUCAUAUUUUGAGAACUUCGCAUAUAACUUCUUUCUCUUAAGGUUUGAAGCACAGUCCUCAGGUGUUGCUCGUGCUCCUCUCGACUUUGGGAGUACACCAGAAUGUCGUCAAUAAACACAAUGACGAAAGAGUCAAGAUAUGGCCGAAAUACAUUGUGCAUCAAAUGCAUAAAUGCUGCUGGGGCGUUGGUCAGCCUAAAUGACAUCACAAGGAACUCGUAAUGACCAUACCGAGUCCUGAAAGCAGUCUUUGAGAUGUCUGGCUCCCGAAUAUUCAACUAAUGAUAGCCUGAACGCAAGUCAAUCUUGGAAAACACUCUAGCACCCUGUAACUGAUCAAAUAAGUCAUCAAUACGAGGCAAAGGAUACAUGUUCUUCACUGUAAUUUUGUUCAACUGGCAAUAAUCAAUGCACAUACGCAUAGAACCAUCAUUUUUCUUCACAAACAAGAUAUGAGCACCCCAAGGUGACACACUAGGCUGAAUGAAGCCCUUAUCAAGCAAUUCAUGUAACUGUUCCUUCAACUCCUUCAACUUAGGAGGAGCCAUACGAUAUGGAGGAAUAGAGAUCGGCUUAGUGCCCGGCAAUAAAUCAAUACCAAAGUCGAUAUCUCUGUCGGGUGUCAUGCCCGGAAAAUCAGCUGGAAACACAUCAGAGAAAUCCGUCAGCAUUGGGACUGACUCAACUGUAAGGGUAUCAAUACUAACAUCUUUCACAUAAGCUAGAUAUGCGUCACACCCCUUCCCAACUAUUUGUUGAGCUUUAAGAAAUGAAAUAACUCUGCUGGAAGUGUAAUCUAAUGUACCCCUCCACUCUAACCGCGGUAAGCCUGGCAUAGCCAGCAUCAUGGUCUUGGCGUGACAAUCAAGAAUAGCAUAAUGGGGCGAUAACAAGUCCAUGCCCAAGAUAAUAUCAAAAUCUACCAUACUAAGCAAUAACAAAUCGACUCUGGUCUCAAAACCACUAAUAACAACCAAACACGACUGAUACACACGGUCAACAACAAUAGAAUCUCUCACGGGUGUAGACACAUACACAAGAAAACUCAUAGAAUCAUGGGAUAUGCCCAAAUACGAAGUAAAAUAAGUUGACACAUAGAAAUAAGUGUAGCCUAGAUCGAAUAGAACCGAUGCAUCUCUGUAACAGAUCGGAACAAUACCUGUAAUGACAGAGUCAGAAGCAACUACCUCUAUACGAGCAGGAAGGGCAUAGUAUCUAUCCUGGCCUCCCCCUCUAAGGCGACCUCUACCUCCCUGACCUCCACCUCGAGCUGGCUGAGUAGGUGGAGUGGUAGCUGGUGCUGUAAUCAUAGCCUGAGGACCCUGGGGAGCACGUUGUGGCUGAGAAGUUUGUGGAGGUGCACCCCUCCUAAGUCAGGGGCAAUCCAUCACCAUAUGGCAAGUGUCGCCACACUCAAAACAAGCUCUAGGAGGGCGUGGCUGCCAUGGCUGGAUCGGGCCAGGUCUGCUGGGCUGACCGCUGGAAACACCCCGUGUAGGGGACACACUAGAUACUGGCGGUGCAUAAUAAGGCUCGUGGGGUUUAGAAGUAGCUGGAAUACCACUGGCGGCUGGAAGAGCUGAAUGAACGGGGCAACUCACGUAGCCCCUACCAUGUCGAACUGUAGCUGGGGCACAAGCACUAGAGUAAGAACCAGUCUCUCGAGACCUCUUGGCCUCUCUCUCCUCUCUCUCUCAAGCAAGCAUGCCCUCCACUCUCCUAGCAAUAUUCACAACCUGCUGAUACGAAAUAUACAUCUCUAACUCCCGGUCCAUGCUAGUCCUGAUGUUGGGAUGGAGUCCCUCAAUAACACGUCGGACCCUCUCUCGAACUGUAGAAACCAAGGUCGAUGCAUGUCUAGCCAAAUCACUGAAACGAAUUGCAUACUCUAACACCGUCAUAGCACCCUGGCGUAAUUGCUCAAACUUGGCAUGCCAUGCAUCUCUGAGGCUCUAGGGAACAUGAUUUUAUACCCCAUGUUUUCGUACGUGAAAGUACGCCAUAAGUAAAUUGAUGUAAGUUUGGGAAUGAGAUUAUUUUGAGAUUAUAAGCAUUAUGCUAUUUCAAACAAGUGAUGAAUAAAUUCGUGAAGGUUAGAGGGUAAGCAAAUCGAAGAAAAUAAAUUUCGUCGAAGUUGGAGAUAAAAUACAGUCCAAGCUACAAUACCACGUAUUUAUAGACUUGUGCCAUACAAGGCACCACACGACCAUGAUAGUGAGGUGUACAAGGUAUGUCAAAAGUGAGUAACAUUUUAAGUAAUUUGAGAUAAUUCUUAAAUAUGUGGAUAAUUGGGUAGUUAAUAAUUUUUAGUGGGAGAUUAACUAAUUAAUUCAAAUAAUUGGAUAAGGUUUAAUGACCCUUAACAUGGCAGCAAGAUUGAUCAAGUAAAUGACUCUUAAAUUCUCAUAAAAUGUUGCAAAAUUUGGAGAAGUUUUUGGCCAACUAAGCCACUAAGUGGGGCCCACUCCUAAGGGUUAAGAGAACCUCUCUAACUCAUUUUCUAAUCUUUACCCAUCAAAGAAGGUUUCAGCAAAAUAUUAAAGACUUUGGUCCCUACUUUCUUUGGUUUCCUAAUAGCUUCAAACGUGAGAGGCUCUCUAAAAUUCACAAAAUUAAAAAGGCUUAUGACUACAAAGUGCGGAUGAGGCUUCAACAAAUUCAUACAAGAUCCUAUUAUGUGUGAGAUGCAAUUCUAUGUAAGCACAGUACAAUCUUUCUCAGGAAUAUCAUACAGAUUUUUUCCUACUUCGAUCCGUCGUUACGUGUUGUCGCAAUUGAUGUAUGUUAGAGGGAUUGUCAAGAGAAUCGGCUCAGGAAUGGUAAGACAAUCCCUUCUUUUCUUUUGGCAUGAUCCAUACGAUACAAAUGAAACGAGCAAAUGCAUAACUUCCAUAAAGGACUCUAUUCAUAGAAAUGCUAGAGAUGCUUAUGUUCUUGACUCCCCAUGUGUCCUAUUAUUCUAUCAUUUGUUCAUGGGUCUCAGAAAAUACAUAGAUUGAUAAAGUUUACUUCAUGAUAUUAAUCAGAGGCAUAAUGGUCUUAUGACAAUUGCAAGAGAUUUUAUUGACAUACUUCUCACGCAUUGCAUUCAUGUACAUUGACCCAUGACCAGAUGGCGUUAUAUACACACCACCACCUGAUCAGCUGGUAUACAUUGAUAAUUUACCCAUAGUGGCCAAGAUGAUAUGAUGUGAUGCCCUCAGAGGCUUGAUGAUGUUAUGAACGCAUAUACCCAUGCAUGGUAUGAUAUUUAUAUGCAUAUGCAUGACAUUAUAAGUAUUAAAUGAUUCACAGAGUUAUUCAGACUUACAUGUCGAGUCUUUUACUCCAUGUUUCUCUCAUAUCUAUUAUUUACUAAUUUUCAUUCCUUACAUACUCGGUACAUCAUUUGUACUGACGUCCCUUUUUGCUUGGGGACACUGCGUUUCAUGCCCGCAGGUCCUGAUAGAUAGGUCGAGAGCCCUCCAAGUAGGCUAUUAGCUCAACGGAAGAUGUUGGUACGCUCCAUUUGCUCCGGAGUUGCUUGUUUGGUCAUGAUUUAGACGUGUAUUCUUUGGUAUGGCGGGGCCCUGUCCUGACCUUUAUGAUAAGUAUGUACUCUUAGAGGCUUGUCGAUAGAUGUCAUGUAUACAGAUACUUGUAUGGCCUUGUCGGCUUAUAUUUAAAGUAUAUAAUGGAUCACAUUGGCCUUAUAGGCCCGUAUGUCACAAGUAUAAGUUUCUAUAUCAGGUAGGGUCGUUGUAAGUCGGGUAUUCCCUCAUGUUUACUCUAGUUAUCUCAUGACGCGCCUUCUGGCCCACUUAUCUAUAAUGAUGUAAUAGGAAAGAUACGUUAUGUUGGUACUCGGUUGAGUAAGGUACCGGGUGCCCGAUGGGCCGUGACACAUGCUCCCUAAAAAAUAUAUCCGAGAAUUGAGUCCAUAUAAGUGAGGUUGCCUAAGCCGGACUGUCCAUCUCAUAAGCACGCUACCACUAAUAGGCUGCUCCUCUAAGAUGAAACAUAGUGAAGGAAACCCCACUCGACUCUGCUAUGCCCAUAGUAUGGAGGAUACGAUGGUACUCCUCCAGAAAGCCCUAAGCAUCCUCUGUCGCCAAAACACUGAAGGUAGGAGGGUGGUACUUCUUGUACCUCUCGAGCCUACAUUGCUCCUCCUCAGAAACUGUUGCCCUACCUUCGGGUUGAACUGGGGCUAGCGGUGGCACCAGUAUAACCUCUGGAAUUUGAUCGACUUGAUCCUGCUACUCUAGGGUGCAGGCAACAGGAGUUUGUGCUCCUCCCCCGAACUGAGAUGUGGCAAGAGCAAGGGGAAUCAACCCUGCCUGAGCUAGAGUACUAAACAUGCUCAUGAAUUGUCCAAGGGUCUCCUGAAGAGCUGGUGCAGUAGUAGUAGACAUCUCAGGUGUCUGCACUCCGACUGGAGCUACUAGUGGCUCCUCUGUGGCAGCUCGUGCAGGUGAUCUGCCUGCACCAUGUGGACGUCCUCGUCCUCUACCCCAGCCCUAUGUGUCCUCACUAUCUAUGAUAGAAUAGAAGACAGAAGUUUAGAAUUUCGAGGUCAACAAAUUUUCGCACGACAAGGAAAUCAAAGAAGUGUAACUUUCCUAACAGUUCCAUAGCCUCCCGAAGAUAAGUACAGCCAUCUCCGUACCGAUUAGCGAGACUCUAAAUAACUGGCAUGUGACUCACGACACCUAUGAACCUAGAGCUCUAAUACCAACUUGUCACGGUCCAAUUUUCCCUCCGUAAGACGUCGUGACGACAUCUAGUCUCUGCGACUAGGUAAGCCUAAACAGUUACGGAAAUAAUAGGAACAGAAGGAAAACUCACAAAUAACUGCAACAAUAAUAACAUAACUGAAAACCAUGCCGCUAGGCAUGUACAAUAACCAACUCCUCAAUACUACAUAAUCUUCCCAAAACCCGGAACAUCAUGAGUCACAAACUACAGAAGGAAAACUAGUGUCUCUAUACAUCAGAGUCUAACAAAAGAAGUACAGGAGAUAAUGGACAUAGGGGAGAAUAGAGGGGGACUCCGAGGUCUGGGAUGCGGCAAAUAUACCUUGAAGUAUCCAACCGUCGCUGCUCACUGAUGAUGUGGCUGGUAAGAAGUACCAGGAUCUGCACUCGAAAACAUGUGCAAAAGAGUAGCAGGAAUACACCACAAUGGUACCCAAUAAGUUCCAAGCCUAACCUCGGUCGAGUAGUGACGAGGUCAGGUCAGGCCCUACUGGUAUAUAUAUGUAAAAUAAGACGGAACAAAAAUAUCACACUAAUGUAAAAGACUGAAAUUUAACCAGGACAAAAUCACCCAAGGAUAACAGUAUAGUGUACAGAAAUAACCACAGGGAAUCUCCCAGAAUAUCGUUCCGUAGUCCCAAAAGUAAAUGUGCAUGAGGGGAUCUCCCGGGAUACCGUCCUGUAGUCUCAAAAGUAAAUGUGUAGGCGGGAUCUCCUAAGAUACCGUCCCAUAGUCACAAAGUAAAUAUGCAGUGGGAUAACAGCUAUAACACAAAAUCCUACAGUUUAGAUUAAGUACAAGUCAAGGAAGAAGCAAGAAAUUCACUAAGCAUGCUGCACAGAGUUCAGUUAAGCAUUUAAGAUACGUAGACAUGCUAUUUUAGGCUAAACAGAACAAUUACACAUGCUAGAAUAACUCAAUUAAAGUUAAACAUGUUAUUGCUUCAUGAAAGACGGAGUUUUACAACAAUAGCCUGUGUAUGCACUCGUCAUCUUAUGUACACGACGCUCACAUAGCACAACGAUACCAAAUCCUAAGAGGAGUUCCCCCACACAAGGUUAGGAAAGCCACUUACCUCGAACCAAGCUCAAUCAAUCGGUAAUAAUAUUUUUUCCACGAAUAUCCGACUCUGAAUAGCCCAAAUCUAGCUAAAAGCAAUUAUAUAUCAUAAAUAUAAUUAUAAUAGACUAAUCUAAUUAAUGAAAUCAAGACUUUAAUAAGAAAUUCAAAAAUUGCUCUAAAAAGCCUCCCUGGGUCCACAUCUCAGAAUCGGUUAAAAGUCACAAAAUAUAAACAUCCAUUCACUCACGAGUUCACUCGUACAAAAAUUAUCCAAAUCCGACAUCAAAAUCCCAAUAAAAAACUAAAAUCUUAGUUGAAGAACUUCUUCCCAUUUUUCCCAAUUUUUCAAUCCAAGUCCAAAAUUAAAUGAUGAAAUUAAUGAUAGAUUAGUGGGAUAUAACCAAUAUCAAGUGUAGAAUCAUUACCCAAUCGAUGUCUUUGAAAAUCCAUCAAAAUCUCGUCUAAAUCUGAGCUCCCAAACUCAAGUUUUGAUAAAAAUGGUCAAACCCUAGUUUUUGAAAACUUAUAUUUUGUCGAGGUAAUUCCUUCUUCACGAAUGCGGUCAAACCCUCGCAUUCGCAUUGAACAAAAAUCCACUGACCAAACUUUCCCAUUCGCGAAUGCGACUAUCCCCUCGCGAAUGCGUAGGUUCCACUGCCUACUGCUUCGCGAAAGCGAUCUCAACUACGCGAACGCGUAGAACAAUUUCCUUGGGGUCCCAGCUGCUCCGUUUCCCUUUUGCGAAUGCGAUGCCCCUCACACGUUUGGGAUGCACUGAUCAUUAGACCUUCGCAAACGCAGCCCCAUCUUCACCAAGGCGAAAAACAACUUUAGCUGGCCUCCCGGAUACCUUUCAUGAACGCGAGACCUCUCUCACGAAUGCGAUGAAGAAAAGCCUGCAACAGAAAUACCAGAAAAUCUGCUAUCCUCCCAAGUCCAAAAAUGAUUCGUUGAGCAUCCGAAACACACCAGAGGCACCCUAGAUCUGAACAAGUCCUAAAAUACCAUAUGGACUUAGUCGAGCCUUCAAAUCACAUAAAACAACGAUAAAUCUAAAGUCCACUACCGGUCAAAAUCUCCAAAAAUUUGAUCUUCGCCAUUUCAAGCCUAAAUCAGCUACAGACCUCCAAAACACAAUCCGAACACGUUCCUAAGUCCAAAAUCACCCAAUGGAACUGACGAAACUCCAUUCUGGAGUUGUCUUCACACAGUUCCGACUAUGGUUAAAAUCCUAAGACUUAAGCUUCCGUUUUAGGGACUAAGUGUCCCAAGACACUCCGAAACCACAAAUAAAACCUCCCGGUAAGUCACAUAAGCAGAAAAAGAUUCGAGGGAAGCAGUUAAUAGGGGAUUGGGGCUAUUACUCUCAAAACGACCGGCCGAGUCGUUACACUAGUGUGUAUGCAGACCUUACCCCUACAUUGUGAGGAUAUAGAGAGGCUAUUUCCAAUAGACCCUCAGCUCAGGAAAGCAAAAGCACCACAUUAUUGAAAAUAUAGACAAGAAGGGACAGUACCAAAAAGUCAUGUAAAAGCAGAAUAAAAACAACAAGAUAGUAAGGUGAUCAACAAUGAAAGAAAACAACGGUUAGCCAUAAAAUCCUACAACUAACAAAAAGCGAGAUUGCGUGUCAAUACUACUGUUACGAACACUCUAGACUACCUACUCUACUAUCCUAAUCCUCGACCUGCAUACCUUCCUAUCAGGGGUCAUGUCCUCGGUCAGAUGAAUUUGCGACAUGUCUUGCCUAAUCACCUCUCUCCACCUCUUCUUUGUCCUAAAUCUACCUCUUCGUAGGCCCUCCAAUGUCAACCUCUCACACCUUCUCACAGGGGCAUCUGUGCUUCUCCUCCUCAUAUGACUAAACCACCUAAGUCACGCUUCAUACAUCUUAUACUCAAUAGGAGUCACACCCACCUUGUCGUGAAUAACAACUUUAUCUGAAUUCUUAUGAAAUUAAAGAUGCUGACCAGUCUUUAUUCGGUCUUUUCUACUCAGGUUUGCUUUAUUUAUGUUACACUUCAAUUAGUUGUAGGACAAAUGCAAAUUGAGGAUUUUCUCUACUGAAAGUCUUUUCUGUUAGGUUAUUCGUUUAACCUUCUGGUACUCUUUUACAACAAUGGAAUUUAACAAGAUAAAUGUAAAUUGGAACUGUUUUAUUUCUUUAAAGUGAAAAGUUAUGUGCCUUAGUCGUUGUUGCUAAAAUGCUUCCUUCAUUUCAGAAUUUUUUAUAGGAACUUCUUGGCUACACACAGUGGAGAAACCAAGAAUUUUAUUUAGAGUGUUCAAACUUGAAAGAAGUAAAAAGAAUUUCCAAUAAAAUUUGUUCAAUAUAUAUUAUAUACAUCUAAAAUUCAAUAUUUUACCUAUAUAUACAGUAUAAUUUUUCGAUUAAGGGUUGUCAGUUGACCACCCUUAAUGAUUAUAUAGCUUCGCCCUUGCCUACACAUUGAUGGAAAAUUCUAUAAUCAUAGAUGAUCAUGUUUUGAAAUACACCGCUUCUAAUUACUGUGUUGGUUCUUUUUAGAUGCAAUGCAUUUUAGUUUGUGUUACUUUAGUAUUCUGAAUAAAGGGUACUUAUCUUGGUAAAAUGUUACUUCGGAAACGUUGACGAUGAUCAUAAUCAUACAUUAUCUAUCACGACCCAAAUUUCAACUAGCUACGAUAAUACCUAACCUCACCCACUAGGUAAGCCAAAUAACAACAAUUUGAUUCAAUUAAUAUUUAAUCGACUCUAAUACACUCCCCAAGGACUGGUAUAAACCAUUAGCUUCUAAGAUUCAGAAUUUACAAAGUUGGUGUAAAAUAAAGUACAUCAUCUGUUUAAAAAUACAUGAACAAAUUUUGAAAUCUAAAGCUACCAAGAUCAAGAGGCAGCUAUGACCGGAACGCAUAUACAUCUCCAAUGCUAGCUCCCGCCAUACACAACAACAUCAUCAUCCAAAAUUUGCACGCAAGGUGUAGAAGUGUAGUAUGAAUACAACCGAUCACAUGUAAUCAAUAAGUAACAAACUUAGCCAUAGGUUGAAAGUAGUGACGAGCUUGUAUCAAGGUCAGAGUUCACACUAAUAACCGGUAGCAUCAAUAUAAUUAAAAUAGCAAAAGUAAUAACUCAAUAAUAAAAUGCCCAACUCGUUCACAAUUCUAGAAAAAAAUAGACAUUUUCUUUUCAAGUUUGCCGAAAUUACCGAAAAUAUGAGUAAGUCUGAAAUUUGUGAUUUUUCUUAAAACAUUUAACAACAUAUAAGAAAUUUCAUUAUCAGAUGGCACGAGGAAAAAUAUUUCUCUAUGCCUACAUAUCAAGCAUGCAGGUCUAAUGCCAUACAACACAGUGAUAAACUCAUGUACUCAUACUCUCAGAGUACUCAAUCUCACUUAUCAAGGUCAGGAUCAGCACGGACAACUCACGUGCUGCACGGUCAACUCACGUGCUAUAAUAUCAAUAUUUGGAUCUGCACUGACAACUCACGUGCUAAUAAUAUCAAUCGAUGGAUCCGUACGGACAACUCAAGUGUUGCACAGACAACUCAUGUGCUAAUAAUAUCAAUCGAUAAAUUCGCACAGACAACUCACAUGCUAAUAAUAUCAAUAGAUAGAUCCGCACGGACAACUCACGUGCUAAUAAUAUCAAUAGAUGGAUCCGUACAAUCAACUCACGUGUUGCAUGAACAACUCAUAUGCUAUAAUAAGACAAUCUGGCCUGCUGCGGCGUGCAGCCCGAUCCCAUAAUAAUAAAGUAUAUAAAGAAGUAUGGCCUUCUGCGGCGUGUAGUCCGAUCCCAUAAAUAUCCUCAAAAUCAAGCCCUCGGCCUCACUCAGUCAUCAAUCUCUCAAGUCUCGAGCUCAAAAUAUCAUGAAAGCUCGUCUAAAAAUAAUAAUAUGAUGUAUCAAUAAUUAGCAACAGAGACUGAGAUAUGAUAUGAAAUGAAUGAACAUGACUACGUAUGAAAUUAUAAUUUAAACAAAUAAUUCAACAAUAAUAUGACCUUUGUUGGCCUCAAUAAUAACGGCAUAUAACCUCAGCACAAUUUUUAACAUGAUUCUCAGCUAAAUUUCUUUAACACAUGGAAGUACAUGGAUAAUGCCAAGAUUAUGUGAUUGCAAAACUCUACGAAAUCAAUUACGUCAUAAAUUUCUACGGUGCAUGCCUAAAUACCUGUCACCUAGCAUGUAUGUCACCUUCAAACAAUUCAUAUAACAUGUAAUUUAGGGAUUCAUACCCUCAGCUCCAAGUUUAGAAAUGUUACUUACCUCAAACCAUGCAAUUCUUUAUUCCAAUAAGCCUUUUCCUUGCGAUUCGGCAUCCGAACGCCUCGAAUCUAGCCACAAAUAAUCCAAUACAAUCAACACGAGGUGUAGGAAUCAAUUUCAUAUGAAAAUGCUAAAUUUCACAAUAAAUCCAAUAAAGUCAACGAAAAGUCAACCGUGGGGCCCACGUCUCGAAACCCGACAAAAGUUACAAAAUAUGCGCGCACAUUCAACCACGAGUCUAACCAUACCAAAUUCCGACAUCAACUCGACCUUUAAAUCCUCAAAUCUUUUCAAAUCCCUAUGCCCAAAUUCUCAAAUUACACCUCAAAAUCACGUAAUCUCGUCGGAAUAUUCGAUGAUAAUUCAAUAUUAUUGACUAAAGAUGAUCACAAAUGACUUACCUCAAGAUUUCCCGUGAAAUUUCUCUGAAAAAUCGCCCAAGCCAUGUUCUUUCGCCCAAAAAUGUUGAAAUGAGCUAAAAAACAAAACGGCUUAAUAAAAACACAUUUCCCGUCACCAAAAAUUUAUUUACUGUCACUAAAGAUCCGCACCAGAACCUGUUUGCACCAGUAAUUUAUUUUUCACUAAAAAGGGCUCUAACUCCAUCAUACGAACUCAGAAUUUGACGAUUCUUGUUCCUAUGAGUCAAAUAAUAAUUCGAACCUAGUUGUUCAAUCGAAACUCAAUUCGAAGCUCAUUUUCUCAAUGGGAUACCAAUUUUGCUCGUUAAAAAUUAACUCAUGUUUCGCGCUAAAAACUCAAUCGCGACUUGAUGAAAUUAGACCAAGCUUUCUAGAUCAUUCUUAUAAUUCAUUAUCAAAUUCCCGGAAGUCUCGAAAUCAAAUUUCGAUCUCUAGAACUAAAAAUGGACCUUUGGAUCAUUACAUGCGUAUGCUCAAAACACCAAACUCUUCCAAAACCCAUUCGAGCCCCAUGAGACCCCAACCAAGUAUACUAAAAAGUCUCAUAACAUGACACGAACUUAGUCGAUACCUCAAAUUACAUUAAACAACACUUAAAGCACAAAUCACACCCCAAUUCAAGCUUAAUGAAAACUAACGAAUUCCAAAUUCUACAUUCGAUGUCGAAACCUAUCAAAUCAAGUUCGAUUGACUUCAAAUUUUGCACACAAGUCAUAAAUGACAUAACAGACCUAUCAAAUUUUUCAGAACUGGAUUCAGACCGCGAUAUCAAUAAAGUCAACUCCCGAUCAAACUUCCAAACCUUCCAUUUUCAACUUUGCCAUUUCAAGCCAAAAUCAACUACGACCUUCCAAAUAAAUAUUCGGAUACACUCUUAAGUCCAAAAUCACCAUACAGAGCUAUUGGAACCAUCAAAACUCCAUUCGAAGUCACAAUUGUACAAAAAUCAAACUUCGGUCACCUCUUUUUAUUUAAGCUUCUAAACAAGGAUUGUUCUUUCAAUUUGUUCCUGAAUCAUCCGAAUAUCAAAUACGACAAUUCACACAAGUCAUAAUAUCUAUUAUGAAGCUGCUCAAGACUUUAAAUUGUUGAACGGGAUGUAAAUGCUCAAAAUAACAAGUCUGGUCGUUACAUUAUGGUAUUUUCUCGUGCAAUUUUUAGAUAUUUCUUUCAGCUUUACUGGUCGCAAUGUUAAAGUUUGAGUACUUUGUUGUAGUUGCAUACAGUAUUUUAAAACACUAGUUGUAUAUAAUCAGAUACAAAACCUAUUACUUAAAUCCUUUGAUUUGGAGGCAUAUUAAAGGCAGAUCUCCGUUGUGCUAAAGAUUUAUACAAGUUAUGAACCCGAAUUCACAACACAAAGUAAACGAAGGAAAGGAUAGGUUUAAUUCAUAAACUCAAAGAGUCAAUCAUUACAAUAACGGAAAUUAGAACUAAGAAGAAAAUUUAGAGAAGAAUGAUAGAGAGAACCGAGGGAGAACAGAAAGAGAUAGUCCAGAGGAAGAAGUUAGAAGAACGGAGACGAGAUGGGAACAAAGUUCUCAACAAUACGCAUAAUCUCAAAAUCACCGGCCACUACUCUUUUAAUAGAAUAGUUCAUGGGCUUACUAGUCAAUCCGGAUCCCAAAUUAGCCUGACCUUAUUGCUUGCUCUCGGCCCAAUAGCUCUUCUCAGACCAAUAGCUAUUUGUGUGUUGAUAUCCUUAUUGGACUGGAGUUGAUUCAUAACAAUACUCCCUUCCUCAAAAAGAACCUUGUCCUCAAGGUUCGAAGACAAUGAUAUCAUAGUGGUGAAGUUCACCGAUGGAGCUUGAAGUAACGUCGUGGAACAGUUUACAUAGGAAAAUGCAAUAACCACAUCUCCAAAAGUCUCAACAAAGUUAUUUGUCCCCACCCAUGUUCGUGAGAGUUCAUAUGUAAAGCCUCUACCACUACUAAGGUAUUUGAUCUACUCACUAGUACUACCAGAUGUAGCCUUGGAGAUUGCCAAUGAAGCCUUCUUUUUAAUUUCAAACUCUACAAUUUGUAGCAAGUGAACAAAACCAGCCACAAUCACACACUGAAUUUUCUCCCUAAAGCUUGCUGGGAUGUUUAAAAUUGUCCAAUUAUUGUGGUAUCCAAAUGAUGCCAACUGAAAGUUGGUAAUUCUAUUACUCCCUCUGUUCCAGUUUAUGUGAACCUAUUUUCUUUUUGGUUCAUUCCAAAAAGAAUGACCUAUUUCUAAAUUUGGUAACAAUUUAGCCUAAACUUACAAUUCUACCCUUAAUGAAAAGCUUUUAUAACCACACAAAUACUCUGGGCUCCUUUUUGCUUUGUUUAGGACCACAAAUUUUAAAAGUCUUCAUUUUUUCUUAAACUCCGUGCCCAGUCAAACAGGUUCACAUAAAUUGAAACGGAGGGAGUAUAAAAGAGUCCAACCAAUGCAGUUAUACAACAACUCCUGGCUACUAAAAGCAACUCUCCUGGUGCCACAACCUUGGAUACAUUGAUCUCCUUGACAAUAGAGGAAAGCUCAUCUUGUUUACUACAAUUUGAAUGGACAACUCAACAAAAAUAGAUGAAUCAGUAACAUGGGAAUGUCUAAUUCUACUUUUCUUCCUUGUCAUCUCAACUCUAUCUACCUCAACAAUAACUUGUUUGUCAUCUCUCCUAAACUCAAAAAGCUCAUCUUCAUUCUCCUCGCCAUGGCCCUCCUCGAUGAGGUUUGUGCCAUCUUGCAACAUGCUAGUCAGCUUGACAUCUGAGAUAGUAUUCCAUGAGAUCAAGCCGAAGUUUAUUUCUGUUGACAUGGCAAUAGGCGAGAUUGCUCAUCUAUAGCUCAAGGUUGGUUGUCGUUUCUUCCCAACGCUAUCUUGUGGCUUCAUUGUCAACUGGGCCUUUUCACCUCUCGCUAUAUUUUUCACAACCAUACUAAGAACAUAGCAGAAAUGACUAUAUAGAACGGUCAAGUCCACCUUUUUUAAUGUAUCCACAACCAUGUUACCCUUGAGAGCUUCAUACUUGACUAGAACAUCGUCAACAACAUUACUAAAACUGUGUUCCCACUCUGAUAUGUGUUUGAAAUCUGCCACCAAAAUUUCAUGUUUUAUAUUAAAAUACUCAUCUAAGAUUGGACUAUAUUCUUCCCCUAUAAUUAAAGGACCCGUGAAUGAAAUAUAGUUACAGUCAACACAGAACCCUUUGGAUAAGUAGGAAUUCAUACACCAUGGUUGUCCAGGAUCCCACACUUUACUCGUAGAGUUAGAAUAUGCAAAUAAGGAAGACUUGCCAAUACAUCCCAACAAAAGUAGUUCCUCUACAUUCUCAAUAUACCUUAGCUUGAGUAAAAAUUCUUGCUUCUGUUAUAGCCUUGAGUACGUAUUUCACUGAAGUAUCCUUAUCAGAGUAUUAUACCAUAAUUCCAUAAUGUAAGGCAAACAAUAAAACAAGAAGGUUCAGUCUCCAAGGUAAUACCAUGUCUCUUUUCAAGUCGGAUGAAGGGUCUUUUUCAGCAUUAUAACAGUAAUGAAAAGUUGGAGAUAUAGUUGCAGCCAAUAUCGAAUCAAAGUGCAAAAUGUAGGCAUUCGAACACCAUUCUUGUCGGGGAUCCCACGCAGUAGUUAUGGAGUUAAUAUUUGGAAAGAAGAAAAAUACGUUAAUAGAUCCCUUCAAUAGCAGUGGCUCCACAUUCACUGUAUAACCUGUUAGAGACUUGAACUUGAAACUUAUUCCUGGAUCUCCAACAUAUUGCUAGUAUUUGUCUCCUGCGAGUUUGACAUAUUCUUUUGCAUACCAUUCUCCCUUCUUCCAUGUAGGUUCAUGUCUCCUACUGGCUGUGUGUGUAGAGGUGUGAACUGCAAUGUUCCUUGCUCCAUUGACUCAUGUGCAUCAUAUGAUUUGAUUCCCUCCUUUUUAGAAAAAAGAAACUCUGAUUCCCUGAAUACAACAUCUCUUCUUGUAAAAAACUGCCUUGUUACCAAAUCAAGCAAAAUGUAUCCUUUAUGUGUCUCGGAAUAGCCCAUGAGGAUGGUUGCCUUGGCUCUAUCAGCAAACUUGUCUGCCUUGAUUAAACUAGUUACAUAGCAUAAACACCCUAUGGUUCUCAAGUGUGUGAUGUUAGCUUUCUUGUGGUGCAACAACUCAUAUAGAGUUUUUGUCACGCCCCAAACUUGAAGAGGCGUGGCCGGCACCCGGUUCCGUACUCGGUCUGAAUGUACAACUCUGUAACUAUGGACUUUGGAGGGGUAACCCUCAACUUAGGCCGAUGAGGCCAUAUUCUGAAUCGUCUGAAAAUAACGUCUCUCUCAUUUAUGGGAUAAAUAUACCCAAAAGCUCAUAUAUAUAUAUAUAUAUAUAUAUAUAUAUAUAUAUAUAUAACUGUGGAGACUGACGAGACCGCCAUGAACAUCUACCGGUAUACAAACUAUACAAGACUCGUCUACAAGCCUCUAGAGAUAACUGAACUAUACCAUGGUCGGGACAGGGCCUCGACCUACCAAUCAAAUCUGUAUAUAUAAAAUGGACUCCAAGGUCUAGACCUGGCAACUCCGAGGAAGUGGAGCUUACCAACCUAGCUGAUGUUUAACUCUGUCUAUUGGGAGGGUCUAUCCAACUGUCAAUAAGGACCUACAGGCAUGAAAUGCAGCAUCCCCAGCAAAAAGGACGUCAGUACGAAAUAAUGUACCGAGUAUUUAAGGUAAUAGGAUAACUGAAAACUGAAACUGAACUGAUAAUUGGAGUCAAGAUAAUCUGAAGAUAUGCUUACCUGCUGAUAUUGGCUCAACUCUCUCAAUAUAGUAAGUAAAAUAGUUGUCUGGCCUUAUAAGGCUUGGUAUGUGUAACUGAUCUGUCAUAGUAGGACCGCUCAUAGGCGCUCGGCCAUACUAGGCUCUGUAUAUCGGCAAUUCUAGGCUCGCUCAUAGGCGCAUGGCUUCCGAUCACCGUCCCGUGAGUUCUUACAACUAUAGAAUGACUUACCAUGAAUUUAUAGUAGAAACAAUAGAUGAAAGAGAGAAGUAAACGUACCUUAUUUGUUGGAUAACUCAGCUCCUAUAUUGGUUCUUCAAACUCUAGGUUUUACCCCCAAUUAUAACUUGAAAGGGAGAGAAAAUUAAUUAGGGUUUGUGGGUAAUUUUUGGGAGGAAGUUUGCAGAGGUUUAGGUCUGGUUAUUUGUGAUAUAUAAUGAGGUUUAUAUUGCAGGAGAUAAGCCCUUACAUGGGCUCUUUGGCUGACCCGAAAUUGCCUCUUUUUGGGCUCUCAUUUAACAAAUUACUUGUCACAUAGCAACAUGUGCAGUCUCACAAAACUGCAUAUAUAUCUCUACCCUGAUGUUGUAUUGAUAAACAGUUUAAUGCUUUAGAAAAUAGACUCAUCGAGAUUCAAUUUGAUGGGUGGAACACCCCACAACUCUAAGUAUAUAUGGAGAAAAUUGCAGUUACAUUUGACCUAAGUUUCAACACAUUUAUGAAUGUAACUUGUGAUGGCCUUUUUCAACUUUUGUUCCACAACUCGCUUGACUUCAAAUCAUAGCACACGUCUAUCAUACGACUAAAAUAACUCAUAAUAUAAUCUCCUUAUAAUUUUAAACACCUUAUUCUCUCCUCAAAAGUACAUGUUACAAUAUUCCCAACUUAUUGACUUUCGAUGAAACUUAUUUUCUUCAAUUCAUUUAGCUUCUAAGCCAUCAAACCAUCUUGGUAAUUGGUAUUCAUGAUCUGAAAUAUUUGUAACCUCCAUUGUAACAUGAUUAACUUACUUUAUGUACUUUCAAAGUUGAUCUCAUUUUUGAGCUUACAUCAAUUGACUUACGAAUACUCUCAUGUACGAAAACAUGGAGUGUAACAGUUUUGCCCCUAGAACACUUGAUGGCAACCUAUUAAUCAAGUAUAUUGUUGAUUUACACACAUCCCCCAAUAUCUGACUGGGAUUGAUCCUUGAAUUUUCAAAGCCCUUGCAGUGUCAAGUAUGUACUUGUGCCUUCUCUCAACUACUCCAUUCUGUUGUGGAGUAUAAGGGCAGCUACUUUGGUGAACUAUACCAAGGUCUAUAAGAAACUUAGAACAUUGAGCAUUAAAAAAUUCAGAUCCGUUGUAUGAUCUUAUUACUUUAAUUAUAACUCAAAAUUGAUUCUUAAUCAUGGUAAUAAAAUUCUUUAUCAUCACUACUACUUCAGAUUUUAGUUGCAAAAAGAAUACACAUGUAUACCUUGAGUAAUCAUCUAUAAUUGUUAAGAAAUACUGUUUCUUAUCAAAAGUAGCAAUCUUAUAAGGGCCCUACAAAUCCAUGUGUACAAGAUGAAAUGCUACUUCUGCUCUUGAAUUACUCAAAGAAAUCUUCAAUCUAGUCUGCUUUGUUAAUGGACACAUGAGAUAGUUUUCAUGCAACAUGUCAGUGCUCUUAUUGCUGUUUCUCCUGUUUAUAGUAUUGAGUGCCUUUAUUCUGUUGACCAAUUCUCUAAGAACAUAUAGGCCUCCUCUUCCUCUAUCAAUCCUCUUCACCUUGCCAUUCCAAAGAUCCUGAAAUACACAAAAAUCAGGGAAGAAAUUUGCAUUAUAUUUCAGUUCCUUUGUUAGUUUUGCUACUGAUAGCAUAUUAAACUUGAAGCUAGAGACAUAAAUCACAUCCUUAAUUUCUCUUUUGUCUAAUAAAGUUGCAUUUCCAAUGUGAGUAAUGUCUUCCUGUUCUCCAGUUGGAAGAUUCACUUUAUCCCUAUUAGUUUUCUUUAUGCACAUAACAUCUGAUAACAGUUCUAAGUCAGAAGUGAUGUGGUGGGUAGCACCGAAAUCUACAACCCACUCCUUCUCCUUUGAUUCUUGUGUGAGUUUACUCAUCAGACAAUUAACCUCACAUGUUUCAGCUCCUACAUUUGCCAUGAUUGCCAUAUUACACUUAGAAUUUGACUCCUUGUUCAAGAGGUUCAGAAUCUGAUUGUAUUGAUCAUUUGUGAAGUAGUGAUAUCCCUUGUGCUCAGCAGUUCUAGAGGAACCAUCAUCCAUAUUCUGCAUAGAAUGUACACCUGCAUCUGCAUUGUUAAUCAAAACCAUGGACUCUCUUCUCCAUCCAGCUGACUUACCAGCAUUGCAACCAUUGCCAUCUUGUUUACCUGCAUUAAAAUUGUUCCAUCCAGGCUUACCAUUGUUUAUCCUAUUCCAACCAUUUUGAUUUUCAUAACCAGAACUCUAUUUGUCAGUAACCUUGAGUUCUCAUCCCUUUACCAUAUCUUCUUCUAAAGGCAAAAUCGGCAGGGUAACCAACAAGCUUAUAACAAUUCUCCUUAGUGUGUCCCUUGAGAUGACAGAAAUCACACUGUAGGUAUUGUCUCAUUCCUCUUCCUUGUCCUGCUUGCAUAGCUAAUGGUUCUACACUAUCAGAAGUCACAACAUUUACCCCUAUCUUUUGUUGGCUCUCAUCUUGUAUUAUCAUAGCAUAGGUUUGAUUUAGGUUAGGUGCAUUAGUUUUCAUGAGAAUCUGUCUUCUAACUUAAUCAUACGACUCAUUCAAACCAGAUAGGAAUUGUAUAACCCUUUGUUGAUGAAAAUUCUCUACAUGUUCUUUCAAUUUCUCACAGCAAUUAGGAAAUAGAACCAAAACAUCAUAUCCAUGCCAUAAUUCCUUCAAUUUUGAAAAGUAUACUGAGACAUAACUAGUUCCUUGAGAUAAUGUGGCAAUUUUGUGAUGUAAUUGAAAAAUCCUAAUGCAAUUUGCCUUAUUAAACCUUUCUCGUAGGUCUUCCCACACUAGAUGUGCAUCAGAUGCAUACACCACUCCACAUAAAAGCUCUGGUUGUUACGUUGUUCAUAAUCCACAAGAGAACAAUAACGUUGCAUGCCUCUCAUUGCUCCAGCAACUCACCUUCAUAUGCGCUUCUGUUACAUCUCCCAGUAAUAAACCCUAAUUUCUUCUUCCCUAAGAGUGUGAUUCUCAUCGAUCUUCUUCAGAGUCCAUAAUUCUCGGAACCUGUGAGUUUCAUCGGCACGACGACUGAGCUAAGAGUACCAGACGGUCCGAUGUAUAACGGAUGGUUGUGAUCAAUUAUCGCCAUCUCCGACACUGACGAAUCUUCUUCCGCCAUGAAUGAGCUUCAACGAGCUUCAAUAAAAAACUCAAUUAAUCAACAAUAGAACUAACAGACAAGUUCAGAGAUAUAGCGCACUUUGCUCCAGGUACGUUGCUCUGAUACCAUGCCAAAAAUCAAAGAUGAAUGAGGAGCUCUAAUGGAGGAAACUUCUAGAAUGCAAUAAGAAAGGCAGAGCAUUCAGAAGAAGGAAAUGAGCUACUGUUCUAUUGAACUGAACAUUGUCGAUAUGUACAAGACACAAGAAGAAGAGAAGGAAAAUACUAAUCUACCUUUAACUUAACAACUAUUAACCGCCUAAUUAACAGCUCAGCUAACUGAUUAUCCAGCUAAGCAGACCACAUGUAACGCCCGUGACUCUCAAUAGUUAUCUUUAAAUCUUGCCAAUUUAUUGAUAAAUUAGGUAAUAUAGUAGUGCCAUUUCAUAGUCAUCCUGGUAAGUUUAGAUAUAUAUGAAAUGGUUGUUUUCCCUGUAUUGAGAUUUUUCGUAAUCAUGAAAUCUUGUUUGUUGAAUCUUUUCAAAGGUAUGUGUAAUUAAUACGACUACUAAUGACACAAAUAACACAAACUACGUCGGGCAUACGAUAGCACGGGCACAACCCAUCUACUCUUAACUAGAUGGGAUUGUAAAAAUAACACGGUAUAGCU
rnacentral:lncRNA from 1 species